AAGUCACUCUUGGGAUGGAGAGAUGGGUCAUUUGGUAACGUGCUUGCUAUGCAAGCAUGGGACUUGAACCCCUGAAUCCAAUCCAUAGAACCCCCCACAAACGCUUCACAAAGGACUAGCUACUUUGACGUCCUUUGUGCCCUCUAGCCUAUCAGUGAAUCAACUGUCUUUUCGAUUUUUACUGAAAUGACCCAAACACGCUGCAAUUUCUCGGACAGCCAACCUCUCUGUGACCCAGGGCCGAUCUGUGUAACUCUGUUGAAUCAUGGCUGCUUGUGGCACUGCCUCUGCCGCUCGCCAACACUGGACAGCUCCUGGAUUUUGCAGCAUAGCCCUGGCACCAGACGCUCUCAUCUGAAUACCCCACAGUGAUCACUCGCAGACCUCCUAAGCAGACUCCAGUUCCGGUUUCUCCCCUGAGUGCCAGAUUCCAGCUGACUUGUGAGCGACUUCAUACGGUGUUCACACAGGAACCUCCGAAUGAACGUAUCCAGGACUGGAGGAGGCUUGGCUUCCUAAAGUUCUCCCCAGUCCCUACAGACCUCUACCAGCACACAACUUCGGCUUUGACAAUGUCAAAUAUU